CUCGGGUUGCCAGAUACUCUUGAUUAACUUCAUAUUUUGGCAGCCUGGACAAGUUGGGGGGAUUUAUUUGAACCGAAUGUGAAACUAAAAUGUUAUAAACUGUGUUAGACAUUCCUCAGUUGCUACUCAGGUCCCUGUGGAUGUACUGAUUGACUUCUAAGUAGGACAUGCCCUCGCUGACAUCUUUACACAUUUCAAGGAGCAAAAUGCUCGAGGGGUGCUGCAGAACAUCCCCACCCUGCAGCCCAUCGCCUGCUUCAUCUCCUGCUGACAACACUUCCAUAUGCCAUCCUCCCAGAAGCACGGGUGAUACUUCUGCAUAAGGUCCUUGUUGAAACGCACCACUUAAAGACAGGAGCAGAGUUUUGGUUAUUUUAGCUAUCUUACCUUGGGUAGAGAAGCGCGUGAACCGGAGCUCUGGGUGGUCAUGGUGAGCACAGUGGUGAUACCCAAGCCUACCCGAGCAGGGGCGGCAUCCAUGUUGAUCCAGAAGGACACCCAGGACAGGAUGACAAUGAGCAGACUGGGGAUGUACAUCUGAAUGAGAUAGUAGCCCAUCUGUCUCUCUAAGUGAAACUUCACCUCAAUGCAGUACAAAUUGUGGAAGUGUCAAGUCAUCCGCCACCUGCACAGGGCUAUCAGAAAGCCACUCGAAGAUCAGAUCAUUCAUGGUGUAGCCGACUGUGAAAAAGGAUAGAGAAUGAGAUAGAAAAAUGCACAU